AACGAACGCUGGCGGCAUGCCUAACACAUGCAAGUCGAACGAGACCUUCGGGUCUAGUGGCGCACGGGUGCGUAACGCGUGGGAACCUGCCCUUAGGUUCGGAAUAACUCCCCGAAAGGGGUGCUAAUACCGGAUAAUGUCUUCGGACCAAAGAUUUAUCGCCUUUGGCUGGGCCCGCGUUGGAUUCGCUAGUUGGUAGGGUAAAAGCCUACCAAGGCGACGAUCCAUAGCUGGUCUGAGAGGAUGAUCAGCCACACUGGGACUGAGACACGGCCCAGACUCCGACGGGAGGGAGCAGUGGGGAAUAUUAGACGAUGGGCGAAAGCCUGAUCCAGCAAUGCCGCGUGAGUGAUGAAGGCCUUAGGGUUGUAAAGCUCUUUUACCCGGGAUGAUAAUGACAGUACCGGGAGAAGAAGCUCCGGCUAACUACGUG
rnacentral:rRNA from 1 species